rnacentral:rRNA from 1 species
UGGGGAAUAUUGGACAAUGGGGGAAACCCUGAUCCAGCGACGUCGCGUGGGUGAUGAAGGUCUUAGGAUUGUAAAACCCUUUUAUAAAAGAAGAUAAUGACUGUAUUUUAUGAAUAAGCCCCGGCUAACUUCGUGCCAGCAGCCGCGGUAAUACGAAGGGGGCAAGCGUUAUUCGGAAUGACUGGGCGUAAAGGGCGUGUAGGUGGAUUUGUACGUUUGAUGUGAAAGUCCUGGGCUUAACCUAGGGAUUGCAUUGAAUACGGCAAGUCUAGAGCGUGAGAGGGGAAAACGGAAUUGCGGGUGUAGAGGUGAAAUUCGUAGAUAUCCGCAGGAACACCAAUGGCGAAGGCAGUUUUCUGGCUCAUGGCUGACACUGAGGCGCGAAAGCGUGGGGAGCAAA